rnacentral:rRNA from 1 species
UACGUAGGGGGCAAGCGUUGUCCGGAUUUAUUGGGCGUAAAGAGCGUGUAGGCGGCCAUGCAGGUCCGUUGUGAAAACUGGAGGCUUAACCUCCAGACGUCGACGGAAACCGCGUGGCUAGAGUCCGGAAGAGGAGAGUGGAAUUCCUGGUGUAGCGGUGAAAUGCGCAGAUAUCAGGAAGAACACCAAUGGCGAAGGCAGCUCUCUGGGACGGUACUGACGCUGAGACGCGAAAGCGUGGGGAGCGAACAGG